AGUGAACGCUGGCGGCGUGCCUAAUACAUGCAAGUCGAACGGAGUGGCGCACGGGUGUGUAAUGUAUAGCUAAUCUGCCCUACACUAGAGGACAACAGGUGGAAACGACUGCUAAUACUCCAUAGUGGAGGAUGAGGCUGUAUUGUAUCAUCUAGUUGGUGAGGUAAUGGCGCACCAAGGCUAUGACGCAUAACUAGUCUGAGAGGAUGAUCAGUCACAUUGGAACUGAGGCACCGUCGAGGAUCCUUCGGGAAGCGGCGGUAGGGAAAAUUACUCAAUGGGGGGAAGCCAGAAGCGGCUUCGCCGCGUGGAGGAAGACAAUUUUCGAGGAAUAAACUCCUUUUGUUAGGUAAGCGGUACCUAACGAAUAAGCACCGGCUAACUCCGUGCCAGCCGCCGCGGUAAUAC
rnacentral:rRNA from 1 species